rnacentral:rRNA from 1 species
GAUGAACGCUGGCGGCGUGCCUAAUACAUGCAAGUCGAGCGAACGGACGAGAAGCUUGCUUCUCUGAUGUUAGCGGCGGACGGGUGAGUAACACGUGGAUAACCUACCUAUAAGACUUGGAUAACUUCGGGAAACCGGAGCUAAUACCGGAUAAUAUUUUGAACCGCAUGGUUCAAAAGUGAAAGACGGUCUUGCUGUCACUUAUAGAUGGAUCCGCGCUGCAUUAGCUAGUUGGUAAGGUAACGGCUUACCAAGGCAACGAUGCAUAGCCGACCUGAGAGGGUGAUCGGCCACACUGGAACUGAGACAAGGUCCAGACGCCUAAGGGAGGCAGCAGUAGGGAAUCUUCCGCAAUGGGCGAAAGCCUGACGGAGCAACGACGCGUGAGUGAUGAAGGUCUUCGGAUCGUAAAACUCUGUUAUUAGGGAAGAACAUAUGUGUAAGUAACUGUGCACAUCUUGACGGUACCUAAUCAGAAAGCCACGGCUAACUACGUG